GAAAACAGCACGUACUUCUGCUGAACCAAUUGGCACUUGUUCCUCAACUGAUUCCAGAAGUCCCUCCAUUGCUUUUCGUACAUCAUCAAUAAGAUCAUAGAUAACUUUGUAUAGUCGGAUUUCAACACCUUUAUUGUCAGCAUAGCUCUUCACAGCACCCGGAGUUCUAACAUUAAAGCCAAAAAUAAUAGCUUUACUUGCUACAGCAAGAUCAACAUCACUGGCGCUCACAUCACCAGUAGCUUGCAGUAGGAACUUCAAAGUGACAUUAUCCUGUGGAAGAACCUGAAGAGCUUGUCUGACGGCCUCAAUGGAUCCCUGAAGAUCAACUUUCAGAAUAAUAUUUAGUUGGUGCAAGUCUAGACCAGUUCCUCCUGAAACAGCAGAAGCAAAAGAAGAGAGUGUAAUUUUCCCAUCUCCGGCCUUUUCCGAUAAACGUUCACUCCGCAAGGACUCCGCUCGUUCUUCAGCCUUUUCACGAGCAAUAUCAAGGGACUCAACAACCUCAAACUCGUCACCAGCAAAUGGAACAUUGUUCAGUCCAAUCACCUGCACAGGCAUGGAGGGUCCUGCUUCAUCAACACGUUUUCCCUUAUCAUCAAACAGAGCCCGCACCUUUCCAUAAGCUCCACCACAAACUACUACAUCUCCUCCUUUCAGUGUACCAUUCUGCACAAUGAACGUUGCUACAGGUCCUUUAGAUUUAUCGAGACCUGCCUCAAUCACAGUCCCCUUGGCAUUUCUUUGAGGAUUAGCCUUCAACUCUUGCAACUCGGCAACAAGCAUGACCAUUUCCAGCAAAUCAUCUAUAUUCUCUCCUUUAAGAGCACUGAUCUUAACCAUUGGAACGUCGCCGCCCCAAUCUUCCGGCAUCAAACCAAUGGUGGAAAGUUCUUGCAUGACUCGGUCGGGAUUUGCUCCAUCCUUAUCAACCUUAUUUAUGGCAAUCACAAUUGGAACUCCGGCAGCCUUGGCAUGUGCUAUAGCCUCAUUUGUCUGAGGCCGAAUUCCGUCAUCAGCGGCUACUACAAUGAUAGCAAUGUCUGUUACUCUAGCUCCACG
rnacentral:misc_RNA from 1 species